GAUGAACGCUAGCGGCAGGCCUAAUACAUGCAAGUCGAACGAUACUUUCCAGCUUGCUGGAGAGGAAAGUGGCGCACGGGUGCGUAACGCGUAUGCAACCUACCUUCAUCAGGGGGAUAGCCCGGAGAAAUCCGGAUUAAUACCGCAUAAAAUCACAGGAUGGCAUUAUCCAAUGAUCAAACAUUUAUGGGAUGGAGAUGGGCAUGUGUGUCAUUAGCUAGUUGGCGGGGUAACGGCCCACCAAGGCGACGAUGACUAGGGGAUCUGAGAGGAGUGCCCCCCAAACUGGUAAUGAGACACGGACCAGACUCCUACGGGAGGCAGCAGUAAGGAAUAGUGGUCAAUGGAGGCAACUCUGAACCAGCCAUGCCGCGGGCAGGAAGACUGCCCUAUGGGUUGUAAACUGCUUUUAUCCGGGAAUAAACCUCAUUACGAGUAAUGAGCUGAAUGUACCGGAAGAAUAAGGAUCGGCUAACUCCGUGCCAGCCGCCGCGGUAACAC
rnacentral:rRNA from 1 species